GAGGAUGUGGAUGUGACUGUAUAUCACGUUAAAGUGUACAACGUCGUUAUAGCGAGUAAUAAUAGAGAGGGGCUGUCUUUCGAAAAGAGCAUCGCCUGUUUCCUCUGGGGCUUGAAUUCUGCCCUGAGGUGUGACCUUGUGAACUUGGCUCUGAAUAUCCCCAGUUCUGUCUCUCCGGACUCCCCUCCGCAUCCCUGGGCUCUAUUGUACAGGCUUUACCCAGGCAGGAAGUGACAUCAACGGGUCCAAACUAAAAAUAUGUCGCAGGACGAGCUGGUUUGGAUGUCCAGGACCGAUGUUUGUUUAAAAAGGAGGAUGCCUCCCACAAGGUGAUGCUCCCCUGAAGGAUGCAGCAGAGUGCCACGCUGGGGAGGCAGACAGACAGACGAGCGGGGCUGAGUUCUCUGUCAUCCACAGUUUAAUGAAAGGAAUGGUACGAGGUGUCAACGUGUUUCAGAGACUCUUGAAUGCCUACUCAUCUAAAAUCUGGAUGUAUUUUUGGCUAUAUGGAAAGACAAUGCAGCCUGGGGAGCUGAAAAAGUUAGUGCAAUGGCACUUGAAACACAAUUUGCUGGCAUUUAUAAAGCAGUCAGUCAAGAAGAGCCAUUCCUUUUCCCUGGCGCUGAUUGGCUACACCCCAAGAGUGAAGCUGCCCGCCCAGUGAAGCCGUCAAGCCAUUAGUGAGUCCCAGCGAUGAUAAUGAAACCUCGGAGGUGGUCUGAGCCACUGUGGUAGUGGAGCUGGAGCACAAGAGAAAGGUAGAUUAGGAUAAUUACCUUUUCCAUGAGGGCACAAUGAAAAAAAUCUCACUUCCUGCAGGCCUUGGUUGACAAUGCAGUGCACAAUAAUCAGGUCUGACAGCCUUUAGCUGAAAAAAGAUAGAAUAAAAAUUGCAUUAAAGUAAGUUACUAUUAGUUCUAAUGACUAGCAUAAGGAAUAUCACAUAUGUGAAAAUGUUCCUGUUUUUUUUCCUGAUUUUUCCAGGUUUUAUCCACAGCCCCCACAGGUGUUUAUUUGUUGUGUGUGCAGCAGUGGUUUAGGACCUCACACACACUAUGGAUGCCUAAAACAUCACCGCUCUUACUUUGAAGAGCCUAUGAGGUCAGGUUUUAAAUUAUAGUCUGAACCCACACCAGGUAUUCCCACUGCAGUCCUGUAAAUCCAUUUUCCACACAAUGCAUUUCAAAUCAAAGCAGCGUCACCGUAACACGCCUUAGGAAACAUUAAGCCAUAGUGCGCUACUUUCAUGUAAGAUAGCAUAGCCUCUGUAUGCUUUGAUGUGCCCACUUUUUUAAUGCUUUAUUAAUAAUAACACACUGGCUUCUUCUCACAUCACCACCAGCUUCUUGUCCUGUUUUUUCUCUUUCUGAACCACAUCCGUCGCCCCAUCCAAGCUGUGGCUGCUUUUCCCCUCCCCAGCCCCUCAGCUCUGUCACAGGAUUGGCCUGUUGGUGUUCAGGAGGGGGAUUAUGGGGAACAGCGUGGGUCUUGAGAUGAAGAGAGCGACAAAGGCCUAUCAGAGGGCAGGAAGUACACAAAGCUCCCACAUCAUUGGCUGCAGAGGAAAUCAAACACAUCAUAAUUUCUUCUAGUCAUUCCUUCUCCGAGUGCCGAGCUUUUAUUUUUCCCACCCAAAGAGGAGGGGUGUUUGGCAGGAACUGGGAGGUGGGUCAGGUUUUGAGUUACUGUCAGUGAGUUUAAGUGUGUUUACUCUCAUGUUUACAGGUCUGUAAACACAGAAGUAACCCAGGAAUGAGCAUGUAGACACUGAUCGUACUCACCUCUUCCGAUUCUGGCCAAAAUACAAAGCAGCCUGCACAGUCCUUGUGCUGUCCAGAAUGAACAGUAUGAAUGGGAUGUCUGAUUCAUGCAUGAAUCAAACUUAUUUACUUAUUUAACCUUUUUCAGCAGAGGUGUUACUUUAAAACUGAUGGCAAAGAGGCACAUAAUGUGAUCUGUUGUUUCCCAGCUGAUCCAAAAGUCUUCUAUUUGACCAGAAGGCAUGGCUAUGAUUAUUUAUUUAUCUUUAAUUCCAUGCUCCAUGUUGUCCAUGUUUUCUUUAUUUUUGAUAGUAUAUGACUUAGUAUUCUGGAGCCUAAAAGUUUUAGACAUGUUUUUUAGUAACACAUUCCUGGCUAACUGAUGUCAGUGUUUUGUUUCUCAUAUGUUCUUGAAUUUUUAUAAACACAUUAAGUUUCUAAAUAUAUUAGUCUACUUUGUUGUCAUACUGGUUCUGUUUAAGUAAUGUCUUAAUUUUACAGAUGCAACAGGAUUCAGACUUCCGUGUGAUUAAUAAAACUUAACCUAAGAAUCAGGUUAAUCACAAUUAAUUUAAUAAUUUGAAAUUAUUAAAUUUUAAUAAAUAUUAAAGUGAUUUAUUAAUAAUUUUAAUAAAUAAAAUGUAUAAAUUUGUUUACACAGGGCGUGGUUAUUUUGGAAGACUUUCUUCUGAACUGCUUUUUGUAUUUACUCAGGUUUGUAUCCUGAGAUAAACUUCUGUUCUCCACCACAGAUACAGGCUAAAAUGAUUAAGUAACACUGUUUAUAUAAAUAAUGCCACUCUUGUCAAUUCAAGGUAAAAAUUUAGCUACCACAAGCUGUUUUUUAAUGUUAAAUUAAAAAUUGUAUUUACUUAUAUUAAACAAGCUUAGUUUCGGUUGAUUUUUUUUAAAUAUAAAUUAAAAUGUCAGGAUAUUUAUAACAAGACAAAAGUCUUUUGCAACAAGAGCAACAUGGAUUUGCAGAAACAAAAUACUUUCUUCAAAGUCUACUUCCAGUUGGAGGUGGAAAAUGUGUCUGACUAACGUAAAAUGCAGCCUAUCAAAAACUAGGGCAGCUGUGUUUGCUUUAUAAUAAAAGAAAGUAUCACCAUCAUAAAGAUGGAGAGCUGAAUCACUAACACUAACAUUCUUACUCACAUUACUGGUAGCAAUUGAAAAACGUUUUAGACCAAAUACAGAACCCUGAUGCAUACCUUUUGUAACAGUAAGAAAGACCACUGAACACACCGCUUAUGGACAGAAAGCUCAUUAGAAAACCAGUUGUGGGCUCAAUCUGAAAAAUUUACUUCAUAGCAGAAAAUAUUAUGAUAAGUAUCAAAUGAGUUUCAUAAGUGUUUGAGAAGCAGUUCAGAUUUUAGUUACUAGCUGUAUACUGCUUUGCGUUUUUUUUUUCCAACUAUGCUAAUAUCCAAAAUUGAAACAGUUGGAAGUGCAAGUGUUUUGCUAAAGCUAACCAGACAGACAGGAUGCAGCCAGUUGACUUUAAAGUGACCGGGAGCUGUGAGUCCGGGCGCCAACCGACUCUCUCCCCUUCGCCUAUAAUAGAUCUGAGUGGUCUGAGGGCCCUGUGGGGGCACCUGGCUCUCCUCCCUGCCAUCACUGGCUAAAUCGAUCGUUGAGGCCAUCUCAGCGAACAGACCAGGGGUCAGCUUCAAAGGCCUCCUGCCCACUUCCUGCCACCUGGUGUUCCAUAUAGGACGAUAGGUACAUUUUCUUUCCAGCCCCCACCCCCCGUUACCCUUCUCCGAACAGGUUAAGGACAUGGAGCCAGUACAGCUCCUCCCUGUGAUCUCCUGCUGCCUCCUCCCAAGCCACCCACAUGCAGAGAGAGGGUGAGAGAUCAGUCCCACACAAAUACAACAUAAUAACACCACCAUUUGAUGUGAAAAUCUGCUUUUGAUUUAAUUAUAGCCCACAAAUGCAUAUCUGUCUACAAUGAAAAGAUUUGAGAAUUUUUGGCCAGAGCUACAGUUUCCUUUCUAUGGUGCUGGUAGGUGUCAUAUGAUCUUAAAUCUCUUAUCGAGAAUGUUUCCCUUUCCAUGUGUGCAUUCAAAUAUCUCCUGAUUUCGGUUAAUAACAAAAUAAUGACAUCAAAAACAAACAUUUUCAUGCCACGCAUUUUAAUCACAUUAUGAUAUGUGAGCAUCUUCCUCAUAUUUUAACAAAUCAAGUUAAGUAAAGCAAAUGGUCUGUUUACACCAAUCAGUCAUAAGAUUAUAACUAAUGCCAGGUGCCGUGAGUAAUAUGUUGUUAUAACAGAAUGUUCAGCUGAGAAAACCAUCAGCAUUGGUGUUAUUUUGACAUUUACCACAGACGUAAACAGUUUAGAAGAAUAUUCCACCCCCCUAACCCCAUUUCCUCCCCUGUGGGUGCUUUAAAAGCUGCUUACAAAAAUGGCUUAAAGAACAUGACAGCAGAUCUUAGGGGUUUAGUCAGCCUCUAAAAUCCCCAGAUUCUGACCUGAUGGGAUCUAAUUGCAUCUGUAAUAAGAAACUCUGUCCAAAAAACUCCCCAUGACACAUCAAAGAGGGGUCAAAGAAAUAUUAAAAUCUAUUGUUUAGGAACUAAACAUUUAGGAUAUCCUAAAUGUUUAGAUAUUUUACACCAGAGCAGAUGCAGAGCAUCCUGAAAGUUUUAAAUGUACUUUUUCACACUUCAUCAGGUUGGAAACAUAAACUUGAACUUGUUUGAUUAGGAUUGCACUAAACCAAAAACAAAGUAGGAAUCAGUUGUGAUGUUGAAAGAAAAAGACAGAGAAUUUUCAAAAUGUUUUAAAAAAUAAAAAUCUGAUGAUUGAUCUCUCUUUGUUCUAUUUCCCCUUAGUCAAGACAAGUGCAACCAGCUGUCUUCAGAAAUCACCUAACUAGUAAAUUCAACAUCACCUGUGCAUCAUUUAAUCUCAGUUUGCCACAAACUGAGGCAGACAAUACAAUAGAAGCAACACAGUGCCCUGAUUAAGGGGGGUUCCAAAUAUAAUAUAAUUUUAUUACAAUGUAUGCUUUGCACACAUUGUGCUUAAACAAAAGCAAACAAAAUUCCUAUCUCCUAGGCCCAAAUCAGGUGAGAUGUAUUUUCAAGUGUUUGAAAAUGAAGAACUUAUAGUCAUUUUUGGAUGCAACAUGCAGUUAUUGGCUCCGGUCAUAUUAAACCUACCAUGCAUCAGUUCAAACCUGCUCAUGUAUAGAGCUACCUGUUAAUGUACUCUAAGUGUUAUUAGUAAAAUAAUUUUACUAAUAAUGCCAGGUCGUUGUUGUAAAUAAGAAUUAGUUCUCAAUAACUCACAUUGUUAAGUAAAGAUUAAAAAAGAAAAAUAGUGGGUGGGGCAACAAAACUGGCCCAGGGCCCACAUCCUUUUAAAUCCGGCCCCGGCCACAAGCCACAAAACGUAAGGAAAAGGUGUUAUUGUAAAAACAAAGAGAAAAACUGAAACACUGUUUGGAAAAUAACCCUGAAUACAUAAUCUUCAUAGUGAAACAUGGUGGUGACGGCAUCAUGCUGUGGGGAUGCUUUCCUUCCACACAGUCAAAUUGAUUGAUUGGGAUUGUAGAAAGAUGGAUGGUGGGGCUAUUUUGCAAAGAAGAAUGAGAAUAAAUGUCAGUUUCUCUACCAGCUCUUUGUGCAGAGCUAGUAGAGAAAUGUCUGGCAGCUGUUUUGGCAGGAAAGGGGGAUUCUACAAUAUAUCGACUUGGAGAGGCUUAAAAUACACAGCAGACUUUUUAGAUUUUCAUUUGUUUUAAAAAAAAUGACAACCGUGAAAUAUUUCCUUCCAUUUUAAAAUGCCACUCAACUUUUGUGGGUUUUUACCACAUGAAACCAAAUAAAAUACACCAAAGUUUGUGGUUGAAAUGUGACAAAAUGUGACAAGUUACCAGGGUUUGAAUACUUUUGCAAGAGCAUGCAGACAGUCAUAAUGUUAUGGCUGAUCAGUGUUUAACAGGGCAAUAAAUUAAAGCACUUCUUGGCUCUCACUUGGAGCAUGUUUCGUUAUUAACUGAUCAACAGAUCUGCUAUGGUAUGAAUAACUCUCUCUUUCCCUGUUGGUCCCGUAACAAAUGGCAGGGCUCUCGGACACACAUUUGUGUCUCCAUCAGGGCUGUCGUACAAUCAGCUCCAAGAAUACAUAUUAAUCAAUGUCGUUUUUUUUUGUUUUUUCUUCCUGUUCUUGUCUGCUUAUUAAGCCCAGCCAUCAACCAACCCCCCCUGCUUCCAAUACGUUAGCGGAUAUCAGUAUGUCCACUACUCUUGUGAACAGGGAUGAGAAGGAGAAAAAGAGGGAGAGGAAAUAAAGGUCUGAGGAGUUUGGCAAAGAGACGAUGGAGGCUGAGACAGAUGGCAUGAAGUCUGCAGCACUCUGGCGUGGCUCGCCUGGUGCUAAAAUCCUCCUCUCUCACAUUCCAAUAAAUCCUACCAGGAGGCUGGGGAGUCUGUCACACCACUCCAAGGAUCCACACGGCUCUCCUCCCUACCUCCCUCCCCCAUACAUCAGUGCCCCCCCUCCUCAUCAGUGUCUGAGUCUCUGACCACUCCAGUAUCUGAUUUCUGCUUUUACUGAACCCACAGAACUGUCUGCAUUCACUUACAGAAAUGUAUAGAUGUGGAUCUACUGAUAAGAUCAGCAGCAGCAGAUGAAAAAAAUAGUCUUUAUGAUCGCUCUUAUUGAAAACUUUUGAGAGAUGGCCUUUAUUGUCAUUCCAGAGUGCAAAUCGUAUUCUGGCCCAAAACAUGAGAGAAACACUGUACAAUCCAUUUACAUUAGAGGAAAAAGACAUAAGAAGCUUUUUGAUUAGUCUCACCAGAGCCUGCAAUCAGCCCAAAGUCUUGAGCAGACACAGUCUAACCAAAUAUCAGCCUAAACAUGCAGCUUGCAGUUCAAGGCUUCCUGUGGGUCUUUAAAUCCAAAGUGGACAAUAAGUGAGGCUGUGAUUACACACUUAGCCCAAAGCCCAAAACUUGAUCCCAGACUCCUCAGCAACUUCACAUCCGUAUUCUGAACUGCUGGAGCUUCUUUGAGUUUGCUCUCUUUUUUGCCGACUCAAAGUGGAUCAUCUCCUAAGAACAAUCUAAUUUAUUUUACGCUCUCUCUCUCUCUCUUCCUCUCUCUCUCUCCCUGUGUUUCUUUCUGGCUUCUGUUUGUUCUAAUGAAUGACUUCUGAGAUAAAGAGCUGCUGUGAUGGGGUCACAGAGGGCCUCAGAAUCACAUUACUGUUAAUGAUAAUAAAAAGAACAAUCUGCGCUGAACGUCUUGGAUGUUUCCCUUUUCUCCACCCGUAUGGACGGGACGUUUUAUCUGCUAUUGUUUUCAGUGUUGUUACACAUGAAAAGCGUAUGAAAUUAAAAUGCAUUCUAAAUAUUGUCUUGUGUUUUGAUGUAAGCAUUGUCUGUUGAAGAUAAAAAGGAUGCUCUGAUAACGAUAAAAAAAAAAUUAUACAGCGGUGCACCAUCUGGGUAACAAAGUACAGAACCAUGCACAACAUCAGGCAGAGCAACAGGGAGCAGCAUCAGAAAAUAUUCCCUGAGGUAACAUUUUAAGUGCACAAUGAAUACCAAAAACACUUAAACUGCAAAUAUGAAUUUCUAACAACUGACAGAGUUAUUCUGGUGUAGGUCUUUGUUCGAGUCACUUCCACGUUUAACAGACUCAGAUUUAUGUUUUCUGCCUUUGCCGAACUGCGUAAAGCAUAAUUUUAAAAAAUGUGCGGAAAGUCAUUUUUAAAACAUUAAGUGGGGACAACUUUCUUUGUGUUUAAACUAAAUGCAGGCUCAAUCGCAUCUUCUGAAAAGCAUCACAUAAGUGCAUCUGAAUAAAUUAGAAAAGAGUUGAAAAGUUACAUAUUUCAGCAAUUCAAUUCAAAAAGUAGAACUUUUACAAUAUGGGAAAUAUUACACAUACUGUGAUAUAUUUUUCCAGUGUUCACUUUGAUGAUUAAGGUUUUUUGACAAAAAUUUAAUUUAUCAGAGAAUUAUUACACAGAAUAUUUGGUGAAGACUACUUGACUUACUCACUAUUAUUGACAAGGAUGUAAAGCUACAAAAAUCUCAUUUUAAGAAAGGCUGGGUGUUUUCAGAGUGCUGUGUCCAAAGAUAUUUUUUGGAAAGUUUAGUGGAAGGAAAACUGUGUUAGAAAAAUGACAGGGACUGGAAUCAGUACUUCAAUCACCACUGCACACUGACAUAUCUGGGACAUGGAGUACAACUGUUGCAUCUCCCAAAUCAGAGACAUCCCUUGAAGGGUUUUACCUAGAAAAAGGAGGAAAAUGACUCGGCUGUGAAAAAAAAUAAGAUGAGCUGUAGGGCUCUAUUAAACUAGAACUUCCUUAACACCUCUGUAGAACCCCAGGCUGAUUUCCUCCAUGUAAAGUAGGACUAAUUUAGCAAUUCAUGCAAAAACAGCCCUGGUCUAAGGUAAUACUUAAAAUUUUUGAGAAUCUGUGUCUACAUUGGCUAUAAAUCAUGAAAUCAAAAUGUGAAGAAAUGAAUAUCUAAAGCACAUCACUGUGUUCUUAAAGCAUUUAAUUCAAGUUUUCAAUAAAAUUCUAUGUUAUUCAGGCGCUUUGUGUUUAGAUCCUUCAUUGCAUUGACAUGCAGGUGAAAAACUCACACAAACAGCUUGAGAAACAAAGUUUUGAGCCAAAAACACUCAGCACAUCAACUCAUAUCUCCAGAUUUAUCUUGUACAGGUCAUCAGAGCAUCAUAUGUAGAGGAUAUUUACAUGAAUGUGACAUUCACAAGCGGCUCAUUUGUGGCUUUCCCUCCCCCUCGCCACAGAGACACAGUUGCUGGCUGUCCUUCCUGCGUGGCAGGGCAGUGUGGCGUCCCCAGGCUCCUUGGCGCUGCAGCUGUCACCCACGGAUGGGAAAGUGGUAGGGUCGGUGGCUCCGCCGCGUGGCUCCUGGCAGCAUCCGUCCCACCCUGGCCCGGUGAAAGGCCAGGGAUCAGGAGCCCAGCUUUGCGAUGGAUUGAUCGAGUGCCAGCCCUCCAUUAGACACCGUCAGAGCCAAAGGGAUGGAUCCGCGGAGGUAGAGUGGACCACCACCAUCCACAAUCAUACCGCUACCAACAUGUCAACACUCCAGUUUAACCAGAACUUUAGUCAAGCU